rnacentral:rRNA from 1 species
AUCGAACGCUGGCGGCAGGCCUAACACAUGCAAGUCGAACGAGUGGCGGACGGGUGAGUAAUGUCUGGGAAACUGCCUGAUGGAGGGGGAUAACUAGUGGAAACGGUAGCUAAUACCGCAUACCAUCAGAUGUGCCCAGAUGGGAUGAGCGAGUUGGUGGGGUAACGGCUCACCAAGGCGACGAUCCCUAGCUGGUCUGAGAGGAGGACCGGCAACACUGGAAGUGGGAAACGGCCCAGACUCCUACGGGAGGCAUCGGUGGGGAAUAUUCGACAAUGGGCGAAAGCCGGAUACAGCAAUGCCGGGUGGAUGAAGAAGGCCUUCGGGUUGUAAAGUACUUUCAGCGGGGAGGCGUUACCCGAAGAAGAAGCAACGGCUAACUCCGUGCCAGCAGCCGCGGUAAUUC